rnacentral:rRNA from 1 species
GAUGAACGCUAGCUACAGGCUUAACACAUGCAAGUCGAGGGGCAUCAGGAAGAAAGCUUGCUUUCUUUGCUGGCGACCGGCGCACGGGUGAGUAACACGUAUCCAACCUGCCCUUUACUCGGGGAUAGCCUUUCGAAAGAAAGAUUAAUACCCGAUAGCAUAAUGAUUCCGCAUGGUUUCAUUAUUAAAGGAUUCCGGUAAAGGAUGGGGAUGCGUUCCAUUAGGUUGUUGGUGAGGUAACGGCCCACCAAGCCUUCGAUGGAUAGGGGUUCUGAGAGGAAGGUCCCCCACAUUGGAACUGAGACACGGUCCAAACUCCUACGGGAGGCAGCAGUGAGGAAUAUUGGUCAAUGGGCGCUAGCCUGAACCAGCCAAGUAGCGUGAAGGAUGAAGGCUCUAUGGGUCGUAAACUUCUUUUAUAUAAGAAUAAAGUGCAGUAUGUAUACUGUUUUGUAUGUAUUAUAUGAAUAAGGAUCGGCUAACUCCGUGCCAGCAGCCGCGGUAAUACGGAGGAUCCGAGCGUUAUCCGGAUUUAUUGGGUUUAAAGGGAGCGUAGGUGGACUGGUAAGUCAGUUGUGAAAGUUUGCGGCUCAACCGUAAAAUUGCAGUUGAUACUGUCAGUCUUGAGUACAGUAGAGGUGGGCGGAAUUCGUGGUGUAGCGGUGAAAUGCUUAGAUAUCACGGAGAACUCCGAUUGCGAAGGCAGCUCACUGGACUGCAACUGACACUGAUGCUCGAAAGUGUGGGUAUCAAACAGGAUUAGAUACCCUGGUAGUCCACACAGUAAACGAUGAAUACUCGCUGUUUGCGAUAUACAGUAAGCGGCCAAGCGAAAGCAUUAAGUAUUCCACCUGGGGAGUACGCCGGCAACGGUGAAACUCAAAGGAAUUGACGGGGGCCCGCACAAGCGGAGGAACAUGUGGUUUAAUUCGAUGAUACGCGAGGAACCUUACCCGGGCUUAAAUUGCAGUGGAAUGAUGUGGAAACAUGUCAGUGAGCAAUCACCGCUGUGAAGGUGCUGCAUGGUUGUCGUCGGCUCGUGCCGUGAGGUGUCGGCUUAAGUGCCAUAACGAGCGCAACCCUUAUCUUUAGUUACUAACAGGUUAUGCUGAGGACUCUAGAGAGACUGCCGUCGUAAGAUGUGAGGAAGGUGGGGAUGACGUCAAAUCAGCACGGCCCUUACGUCCGGGGCUACACACGUGUUACAAUGGGGGGUACAGAAGGCAGCUAGCGGGUGACCGUAUGCUAAUCCCAAAAUCCUCUCUCAGUUCGGAUCGAAGUCUGCAACCCGACUUCGUGAAGCUGGAUUCGCUAGUAAUCGCGCAUCAGCCACGGCGCGGUGAAUACGUUCCCGGGCCUUGUACACACCGCCCGUCAAGCCAUGGGAGCCGGGGGUACCUGAAGUACGUAACCGCAAGGAUCGUCCUAGGGUAAAACUGGAA